ensembl:snoRNA SNORD15 Small nucleolar RNA SNORD15
CUUCAAUGAAGAGAAGAUGACGAGUCUGACUGGAGGUUUUCUCUUUGUCCGGGGGGGGCCCCUACUUCGUGCCGCGUUCUGUGGCAGUUUUAAGGGCCCUCUGGUUAAAGUAACUUCCAAAGGACGACCUAGAGGCAUUUGUCUGAGAAGG